rnacentral:rRNA from 1 species
GAACUGCGCGAACGUUAUUCGGAAUCACUGGGCUUAAAGAGUCCGUAGGCGGCUCGGCAGGUGAGGUGUGAAAUCCCACGGCUCAACCGUGGAAUUGCGCUUCAAACCGCCGGGCUAGAGGGAGAUAGAGGAGAGCGGAACUGAUGGUGGAGCGGUGAAAUGCGUUGAUAUCAUCAGGAACACCGGUGGCGAAAGCGGCUCUCUGGGUCUCUUCUGACGCUGAGGGACGAAAGCUAGGGGGAGCGAACGGGAUUAGAUACCCCGGUAGUCCUAGCUGUAAACGAUGAGCACUAGAUCGAGGGGACUCCCACAUCCUCUUGGUCGGAGCGAAAGUGUUAAGUGCUCCGCCUGGGAGUAUGGUCGCAAGGCUG